UACGUAGGGUACGAGCGUUGUCCGGAAUUAUUGGGCGUAAAGAGCUCGUAGGUGGUUGGUCGCGUCUGCCGUGAAAAUCCAGGGCUCAACCCUGGACGUGCGGUGGGUACGGGCUGGCUAGAGUGUGGUAGGGGAGACUGGAACUCCUGGUGUAGCGGUGAAAUGCGCAGAUAUCAGGAAGAACACCGAUGGCGAAGGCAGAUCUCUGGGCCGUAACUGACGCUGAGGAGCGAAAGCAUGGGGAGCGAACAGG
rnacentral:rRNA from 1 species